CGUGUAGGCGGGAAAACAAGUCAGAUGUGAAAUACCGAGGCUUAACCUCGGGGCUGCAUCUGAAACUGUAUUUCCUGAGUGUCGGAGAGGAAAGUGGAAUUCCCAGUGUAGCGGUGAAAUGCGUAGAUAUUGGGAGGAACACCAGUGGCGAAGGCGACUUUCUGGACGAUAACUGACGCUGAGGCGCGAAAGCGUGGGGAGCAAACAGGAUUAGAUACCCUGGUAGUCCACGCUGUAAACGAUGGAUACUAGGUGUAGGAGGUAUCGACCCCUUCUGUGCCGGAGUUAACACAAUAAGUAUCCCACCUGGGGAGUACGGCCGCAAGGUUGAA
rnacentral:rRNA from 1 species